CCUACGGGAGACAGCAGUGGGGAAUAUUGCGCAAUGGGCGAAAGCCUGACGCAGCGACGCCGCGUGAGGGAUGAAGGUCUUCGGAUUGUAAACCUCUGUCAGCAGGGAAGAACGGUCACUGUGCUAAUCAGCAGUGAAUUUACGCUACCUGCAAAGGCAGCACCGCCUAACUCCGUGCCAGCAGCCGCGGUAAUACGGAGGGUGCGAGCGUUGAUCGGAAUUACUGGGCGGAAAGCGCUCGUAGGCGGUGGGUGAAGUCAGGGGUGAAAUCCCCGGGCUCAACCUGGGAACUGCCUUUGAAACUGGCAGACUGGAGUGAGUGAGAGGAUAGCGGAAUUCCAGGUGUAGGAGUGAAAUGCGUAGAUAUCUGGAGGAACAUCAGUGGCGAAGGCGACUAGCUGGAACGUAACUGACGCUGAGGAGCGAAAGCGUGGGUAGCAAACAGGAUUAGAUACCCUUGUAGUC
rnacentral:rRNA from 1 species